UACAGAGGUCUCGAGCGUUGUUCGGAUUCAUUGGGCGUAAAGGGGGCGUAGGCGGCGGGGUAAGUCUGGUGUGAAAUCUCGGAGCUCAACUCCGAAAUUGCACUGGAUACUGCUCUGCUAGAGGGCUGGAGAGGAGAUCGGAAUUCACGGUGUAGCAGUGAAAUGCGUAGAUAUCGUGAGGAAGACCAGUGGCGAAGGCGGAUCUCUGGACAGCUCCUGACGCUGAGGCGCGAAGGCUAGGGGAGCAAACGGG
rnacentral:rRNA from 1 species